AUUAGAUACCCUGGGUAGUCCACGCUGUAAACGAUGAUUACUAGGUGUUGGGGGACCAAGGUCCUUCGGUGCCGUCGCAAACGCAUUAAGUAAUCCACCUGGGGAGUACGUUCGCAAGAAUGAAACUCAAAGGAAUUGACGGGGGCCCGCACAAGCGGAGGAACAUGUGGUUUAAUUCGAUGAUACGCGAGGAACCUUACCCGGGCUUAAAUUGCACCUGAAUAAUGUGGAAACAUGUUAGCCGUAAGGCAGGUGUGAAGGUGCUGCAUGGUUGUCGUCAGCUCGUGCCGUGAGGUGUCGGCUUAAGUGCCAUAACGAGCGCAACCCUUAUCUUCAGUUACUAACAGGUCAUGCUGAGGACUCUGGAGAGACUGCCGUCGUAAGAUGUGAGGAAGGUGGGGAUGACGUCAAAUCAGCACGGCCCUUACGUCCGGGGCUACACACGUGUUACAAUGGCAGGUACAGCGGGAAGCCACCUGGCGACAGGGCGCGGAACCCGAAAACCUGUCUCAGUUCGGAUUGGAGUCUGCAACCCGACUCCAUGAAGCUGGAUUCGCUAGUAAUCGCGCAUCAGCCACGGCGCGGUGAAUACGUUCCCGGGCCUUGUACACACCGCCCGUCAAGCCAUGGAAGCCGGGAGUGCCUGAAGUGCGUGACCGCAAGGAGCGCCCUAGAGCGAAAUCGGUGACUGGGGCUAAGUCGUAACAAGGUAGC
rnacentral:rRNA from 1 species